AUACGUAGGGGGCGAGCGUUGUCCGGAAUGUUUGUGCGUAAAGGGCUCGUAGGCCGCCUGUUAAUUCUGGAGUGAAAGUCCUGUUUUCUAGAUGGGAAUUGCUUUGGAUACUGAUGGGUUUGAGUGCAGGAGAGGUUAUCGGAAUUCCUGGUGUAGCGGUGAAAUGCGUAGAGAUCGGGAGGAACACCAGUGGCGAAGGCGGGUAACUGGACUGCAACUGACGCUGAGGCGCGAAAGUGUGGGGAGCAAACAGGAUUAGAUACCCUGGUAGUCCACACUGUAAACGAUGAAUGCUAGGUGUAAGAGGUAUCGACCCCUUUUGUGCCGUAGUUAACACAAUAAGCAUUCCGCCUGGGGAGUACGGCAGCAAGGUUGAAACUCAAAUGAAUUGACGGGG
rnacentral:rRNA from 1 species